rnacentral:miRNA from 1 species
AUCCCAGAGAAGCAGGAGAAAGAGAAAGAAAUGGCUGGUGCUCAGGUAAAUGCAUCUCAGGUCAGGGGUUGUGUCCACUUUUGCUCCUGAAAU